GGCUCGGUCGCGGAUGGUCCGCACUUGCAUUUUGCUUGCAUUUCCUUUGUCGUGAAAUGUGCUGUUAAAGCAAGAGUUGCCCGUUCGAUCCGAGCCUGAGCCA